UACAGAGGUCCCAAGCGUUGUUCGGAUUCAUUGGGCGUAAAGGGUGCGUAGGCGGCGCGGUAAGUCGGGUGUGAAAUCUCGGAGCUUAACUCCGAAACUGCAUUCGAUACUGCCGUGCUUGAGGACUGGAGAGGAGACUGGAAUUUACGGUGUAGCGGUGAAAUGCGUAGAUAUCGUAAGGAAGACCAGUGGCGAAGGCGGGUCUCUGGACAGUUCCUGACGCUGAGGUCACGAAGGCCAGGGGAGCAAACGAG
rnacentral:rRNA from 1 species